rnacentral:rRNA from 1 species
CGCUGGCGGCGUGCCUAAUACAUGCAAGUCGAGCGAACUGAUUAGAAGCUUGCUUCUAUGACGUUAGCGGCGGACGGGUGAGUAACACGUGGGCAACCUGCCUGUAAGACUGGGAUAACUUCGGGAAACCGAAGCUAAUACCGGAUAGGAUCUUCUCCUUCAUGGGAGAUGAUUGAAAGAUGGUUUCGGCUAUCACUUACAGAUGGGCCCGCGGUGCAUUAGCUAGUUGGUGAGGUAACGGCUCACCAAGGCAACGAUGCAUAGCCGACCUGAGAGGGUGAUCGGCCACACUGGGACUGAGACACGGCCCAGACUCCUACGGGAGGCAGCAGUAGGGAAUCUUCCGCAAUGGACGAAAGUCUGACGGAGCAACGCCGCGUGAGUGAUGAAGGCUUUCGGGUCGUAAAACUCUGUUGUUAGGGAAGAACAAGUACGAGAGUAACUGCUCGUACCUUGACGGUACCUAACCAGAAAGCCACGGCU